GACGAACGCUGGCGGCGUGCUUAACACAUGCAAGUCGAACGGAAAGGCCCUGCUUUUUUGUGGUGCUAGAGUGGCGAACGGGUGAGUAACACGUGAGUAACCUUCCCUGUACUUUGUGAUAACUUCAGGAAACUGGUGCUAAUACCUGAUAGGAGCUGGUGCUGCAUGGUGGGGGUUGGAAAGUUUCGGCGGUUGGGGAUGGACUCGCGGCUUAUCAGCUUGUUGGUGGGGUAGUGGCUUACCAAGGCUUUGACGGGUAGCCGGCCUGAGAGGGUGAACGGCCACAUUGGGACUGAGAUACGGCCCAGACUCCUACGGUAGGCAGCAGUGGGGAAUAUUGCACAAUGGGCGGAAGCCUGAUGAAGCAACGCCGCGUGCGGGAUGAAGGCCUUCGUGUUGUAAACCGCUUUAGCCUGUGACGAAGCGUGAGUGACGGUAAUGGCUAAAGAAGCACCGGCUAACUACGUG
rnacentral:rRNA from 1 species